GGGGGAUAUUGCGCAAUGGGGGCAACCCUGACGCAGCAACGCCGCGUGAAGGAUGAAGGUUUUCGGAUUGUAAACUUCUUUUAUUAAGGACGAAACUUGACGGUACUUAAUGAAUAAGCUCCGGCUAACUACGUGCCAGCAGCCGCGGUAAUACGUAGGGAGCAAGCGUUGUCCGGAUUUACUGGGUGUAAAGGGUGCGUAGGCGGCUUUGCAAGUCAGAUGUGAAAUCUAUGGGCUCAACCCAUAAACUGCAUUUGAAACUGUAGAGCUUGAGUGAAGUAGAGGCAGGCGGAAUUCCCCGUGUAGCGGUGAAAUGCGUAGAGAUGGGGAGGAACACCAGUGGCGAAGGCGGCCUGCUGGGCUUUAACUGACGCUGAGGCACGAAAGCGUGGGUAGCAAACAGGAUUAGAUACCCUGGUAGUCCACGCUGUAAACGAUGAUUACUAGGUGUGGGGGGUCUGACCCCUUCCGUGCCGGAGUUAACACAAUAAGUAAUCCACCUGGGGAGUACGGCCGCAAGGUUGAAACUCAAAGGAAUUGACGGGGGCCCGCACAAGCAGUGGAGUAUGUGGUUUAAUUCGAAGCAACGCGAAGAACCUUACCAGGUCUUGACAUCCAACUAACGAAGUAGAGAUACAUUAGGUGCCCUUCGGGGAAAGUUGAGACAGGUGGUGCAUGGUUGUCGUCAGCUCGUGUCGUGAGAUGUUGGGUUAAAUCCCGCAACGAGCGCAACCCUUGCUAUUAGUUGCUACGCAAGAGCACUCUAAUAGGACUGCCGUUGACAAAACGGAGGAAGGUGGGGACGACGUCAAAUCAUCAUGCCCCUUAUGACCUGGGCUACACACGUACUACAAUGGAUGUUAACAGAGGGAAGCAAGACAGCGAUGUGGAGCAAACCCCUAAAAACAUUCUCAGUUCAGAUUGCAGGCUGCAACCCGCCUGCAUGAAGAUGGAAUUGCUAGUAAUCGCGGAUCAGCAUGCCGCGGUGAAUACGUUCCCG
rnacentral:rRNA from 1 species